rnacentral:piRNA from 1 species
UGAAGAGAGAAGGUUUACCUAUCUGGGC